GACCCCGUGGCGCAAUGGUAGCGCAAGGGACUUUUAAUCCCUUGGUUGCAGGUUCGAAUCCCGCCGGGGUCACCA
rnacentral:tRNA from 1 species